CACAUACUGGGUGUCAAAGGACCCGGUGAUGGAGCGGCGGUAGUCACGCACCUCUAGAAUCACACACCCACUGUAGAACACGUUCACCUGAAACCAACAUUUCCUCUUUAAUGAAUUUUCACUGGCCUGACUGCAUCUUUACUCACCUGUGCUUUUUCAAGAAGGUCAACAAGGAAGGGAGGCAACUGUAAAUAAAAAAUCAAAGAAGAGUGCAAUAUAGAUUUCCCUACCUCUGAGGAGUCCACAUAAUCCAGAAGUUCUGACACCUAAAAACAAAGAAUGAUAUUGCAUAUACUGACCUCGUACGGGAGUUUGAGAGUCUCCAGCUCCACCCCGCCACGCCCCCUCAACAUGAUUGAGUAGCCCUCAUUCCCUGGGUAGAGCUUCAGCACCAGACAAUUCAGUUUGUCCCUCCUGACCAGCUUAG